CUUGCAGGAUUGCCAUUUGGAUCCUCGAUGGGCAAAGCCUCUUGCAGAUGUCCUCCGGAGCUGUCCUCACUUUUCCGAAAUCGAUUUGUCAGAUAACUCACUUGGCGACGCCGGCUGCAAUCAGCUGAUGAAGACGGUGCCCAAAUUAUCCAUUUCUGGCACUCUAAGGUUAAACAACAACCAGUUGACUCUCAAGAGCCUUUUCCGCCUCUUGAACACCAUGGCGUUUUGUCCAAAUAUAGUGAUGCUGAAAGCCAG